UACCACUGUUUUACAAAGCUAAUUAAGUUCCCACAACUCAUUUUUUUUCCAGCUGUCUCAUCCAAUGAAACACUGAUAUUAGGAGACACAGAAGCAUCAUAUAAUGAAGGGAUUUUAAACAGUACUGGGAGUGUCUCCGAGGAAUGUUGUAUACAAGACAGAUUCUUUUCGUCUGUCUUCAAAUAGAGGUAAAAGAGAGGCUUGUUCAGGAGUUGGGAUCUGUAUUUUCCUGCAGUUGCUUGUGUUUGGGAAAUUGUCUCCAAGUCCAGAGAGAAGAGGCCAGGAUAUUAUGUCUACGCAGAUACCUCUGAAGCACAGUGUUUGCCGUCCCCGUGGAGGCAAGAUCGGAGGACAACUGAUUAGAUCAAUCACAACAACUUAGCUCCAGAGUUCUGAUUGGUCUGCAAUGAAAGGUUGAAGAGUAUAAAAGGGAAGACUGAAGAGUCUAUACAAGAAGCUGAAGAGUUCAUGCCAGAAGCCAGUUGCCAGGAGCGAUGACAUCCACAGUGAAGGAAAAGACCUGAGCUCCUCAAAAGAAACAGAAACAGAUUCAUCCUUCUUCAUUUCCCCU
rnacentral:lncRNA from 1 species